rnacentral:rRNA from 1 species
ACUGCUCAGUAACACGUGGACAACCUGCCCUUAGGUUGGGUAUAAACCCGGGAAACUGGGUAUAAUACCCGAUAGGUCUCGAUUGCUGGAAUGCAUCGAGAUUUAAAGCUCCGGCGCCUAAGGAUGGGUCUGCGGCCUAUCAGGUAGUAGUGGGUGUAGCGUACCUACUAGCCUACGACGGGUACGGGUUGUGAGAGCAAGAGCCCGGAGAUGGAUUCUGAGACACGAAUCCAGGCCCUACGGGGUGCAGCAGGCGCGAAAACUUUACAAUGCUGGCAACAGCGAUAAGGGAACCUCGAGUGCCAGGUUACAAAUCUGGCAGUCGAGAUGCCUAAAAAGCAUUUCAUAGCAAGGGCCGGGCAAGACCGGUGCCAGCUGCCGCGGUAACACCGGCGGCUCGAGUGGUAACCGUUAUUAUUGGGUCUAAAGGGUCUGUAGCCGGCCGGAUAAGUCUCUUGAGAAAUCUGGCAGCUUAACUGUCAGGCUUUCAGGAGAUACUGUCUGGCUCGAGGCCGGGAGAGGUGAGAGGUACUUCAGGGGUAGGGGUGAAAUCUUGUAAUCCUUGAAGGACCACCAGUGGCGAAGGCGUCUCACCAGAACGGACCUGACGGCAAGGGACGAAAGCUAGGGGCACGAACCGGAUUAGAUACCCGGGUAGUCCUAGCCGUAAACGAUACUCGCUAGGUGUCGGCCACGGUGCGACCGUUGUCGGUGCCGUAGGGAAGCCGUGAAGCGAGCCACCUGGGAAGUACGGCCGCAAGGCUGAAACUUAAAGGAAUUGGCGGGGGAGCAC